rnacentral:rRNA from 1 species
UACAGGGGGCUCGAGCGUUAGUCGGAAUCACUGGGCUUAAAGGGUGCGUAGGCGGCCCGCCAAGUGCUUUGUGAAAUCCCCGAGCUCAACUCGGGAACAGCAGGGCAAACUGGCGGGCUUGAAGCAGGUAGGGGCUGGAAGAACAGUUGGUGGAGCGGUGAAAUGCGUAGAUAUCAACUGGGAUGCCGAUGGGGAAGCCGUCCAGCUGGGCCUGUCUUGACGCUGAGGCACGAAAGCGUGGGGAGCAAACAGG